ensembl:lncRNA
GUAAAAACUUAAUUUUUGAUUAGAAAUAUGCAUUGCUAAAAACUUAGUUUGGACAACUUUAAAGGCAAUUUUCUCAAUAUUUUGUAUCUCUAUCUGAGAUACAACCUAAUUAGGGCAGACCAUUUAAAAAUAUAUAUAUAUAUAUAUAUAUAUAUAUAUAUAUAUAUAUAUAUAUAUAUAUAUAUAUAUAUAAUAAAAAAAACUUUUACUUUCAAAGAACAAGGUGUAUAAUCACAAUAUAUUAGCAUUACAGUGCGUAAAAUAUGAUGUGUAUGCAAUGCAUUCCAACAUCUUUAUAGAGCAGCCUUAGUGACUCUCCAGUAGAGCAGAACUAUUACAUUCUAUUCUCUUGACACAUGCAGCAGAGACUGUGAAGGCUUGUUAGGGAGCUGAGAUCCUAUUCAAAUCCUGAUAAGCAUUAGGGAGUCACCUGAUGGGAUGUUAGCUAUGCCGAGAGCUCCCAACUGCACCUCCCAGCUCUAAGCUCAGCUCUGGAAGAAUAGAUCGAUGGUCACCCCCUCCUCUUGUGUGUGGGAUUUCAACUUCCCGCUUAGAGAACACACACACACACUUACAACACACCGGCAAACACACACAUGGUUUGAGGGAAGCUGUUGCCACAGAAACACACACUGAUGCGAGCCACAGUCAAAAAUGUUUUAUCACGCAGAGCAACAAUGCAGCUAAAGCCUGGAAAACUGAUGCUUGCCUGCAGUUUCCAAACCAGAAAUAGAUUUCACAGUCCUGAUAUGUGUGGCGAAUUCUGCUGUCAUCUCGGAGAAGAAUUUCACCUUGCAGCUAAUUUUUGGAUUGGUUUGAUCUCCUGCAUGAUGCCAAUCCUAGAGUUACUGGAGACUUCAUCAGCUUCUGUUUGAAGACUGAAAAUUAUGCCAACAUGGACUUAAAAGACUGACAUAAUAUUAUCCUUAUAUUGUUGUCACUACAAUUAAAAACUAUAUUAACUGCCUUGAUAAUGCAUUGAAAAAUAGCAUAAUUAUAUGUCUCCUACUGAACACAUGACUUGCACUAUAUCAGAGCUAUACUGCAUGCUUUGAAAUUAUCUGUUUUGUGGAAUGAGGAAUAAGUACAGUAAAAAGUUCUAACACACUUCAGUUUCCCGAGCUUGGUUAUUGUAACCCAGGAAUUCUUAA